rnacentral:rRNA from 1 species
CCUACGGGAGGCAGCAGUGGGGAAUUUUGGGCAAUGGGCGAAAGCCUGACCCAGCAACGCCGCGUGAAGGAUGAAGUAUUUCGGUAUGUAAACUUCGAAAGAAUAGGAAGAAUCAAUGACGGUACUAUUUAUAAGGUCCGGCUAACUACGUGCCAGCAGCCGCGGUAAU